UUCAGGGUGUUUGGGGGGAGGAGAUGGGGAAAUGGGGUGACGGGGGAAAGGAGGAAUGGUUAAACUUCACCCUCACCCUGUACCUUACCCUGUACCCUGCUCACCCUGCCUACAGUCACAGCAAGAAGGAUGGUGAGGUGAGGCAGGCCAGGCUCAACUCAAGGAUGCAGCCAGAAUUUACAAAGAUGCCAAGUAGGAGAUACCCAGUAAGUCAGCCUGUAAACACCUGUAGCAGUCUCCCUGCCCCUCCCUGCCUCCCCCAGAGCUUGGAGAACACCUACGGCGUGGAGACACCCAGUAAGUCAGCCUGUAAACACCUGUGGCAGUUCUGUGUUGAGCAUCACGCCUUCUUCAGAUUAACUCAAGCUUCUGGGAAUUCUGCAGAUGCUGUCUUCUCCCUCAGAGGAGGAUUGUGGAAAGUGCACAGGACACACCAAGACUGGAGAACACUAAGGCAAAACAUUUUUCGAUCAAGUUCUAUGACGUUAGGGGGUCGCAGCUCCUCCCCCCACAGCACCAGUUCAGCCUCGCAUCCCCCCAUUACCACCACCACCACCACCACCAGGGUACAAGGAGAGAGUCCCAAGUCCCUCCAGUCAACUACUACUACUACUACUUCUGGUGGUCAUGACUAUUGGGUGUUGAGAAGGGCCUCCAGUGUGGAUAGUCAGUUGUCGGUGGACUCCAGGGCUCACAGAAACACAGUUACAAGAACGCACCAAGCAUCUCUACCCCAUAGAAGGUUAUACCCCAUUUCACUUAAUCAGAACUGAUGGAGAGCAUGGAAGGAUUACUAUCUACACCAAAAAUAUGAUAAAUAUACAAGUUCUAAAUCAGUUCUCUUUUAUAAACAGUGAUAUUGAAAUAAGUACAACAAAGGUAAUUGUAGGGAGCACCAGUUAUAUUAUCUCAGUAAUUUACAGGAUCAAUAGUAAACAUAUAGUUGUUAAUGAAUUCACAGACAUUAUCAAUAAUUUACUAGUUGCUGAAACUUUUAAAAAUAACAAAACAAUUCUCAUUGGGGACUUUAACAUUAAUUUACUUGAACAUUCCACUCAUCUUCCUACCAACUUAUUCCUCAACACAAUGCAAACUCUGCAUCUCACACAUCUCAACCAACAAGAUUUCCUGACAGCCCUGACCUUGGUCAACCAUCAUUACCAGACCAUAUCUGGACUAAUUUCACACCUCCAUCAUUAUCAGAUCAGGCAGCAGCAAGCCUCAGUGGGCCCAGGUCACAGUGGGUCACACUCAGGUCAGAGGUCACAUGGCCACAGUGCACGACCUGACACACAAGAGUGGGUACCACCCUUCAGGUGUGGACACGGAGGUUGACUCCCUCCACCACCACCACCACCACCACCACUCGGCUAACAAGAAACAACAUCACAAACACCGUAACUCCAGUGAUUGGAAGGCUACCCUCCCCCUGUGGAUGGAGAGAGCCCUCCCCUCCAUACACGCCAUCCACGCACUCCAAGAACCAUACACUUCCGAAGGGCUGCAGUAAGGUGCAUGUGUGUGUGUGUGUGUGUGUGUGUGUGUGUGUGUGUGUGUGUGUGUGUGUUGUUGUUGUUGUUGUUGUUGUUGUUGUUGUUGUUGUUGUUGUUGUUGUUGUUGUUGUUGUUGUUGUUGUUUGUUGUUGUUGUUGUUGUUGUUGUUGUGGUUGUUGGUUGUUGUUGUUGUUGUUGUUGUUGUUGUUGUUGUUGUUGUUUUGCAGGAGGGGACAGUGGAGGGAAGAAUACCAGAUGGAGCUGUAGGAGGCAGAGAAGGAGGAGGAGGAGGAGGAGGAGGAGGCUUCAGCUCAAAGGCAUUAUAUUGUAAAAAAAAAAUGUGUGUGUGUGUCCAGUUCUUCCUUUCUUCCUUCCUCCUCCUCCUCCUCCUCCUCCUCCUCCUC